UAGUGAGUAAGUCCCGUUCGAACCUAUGAUGCCUGUGUUUUCAGGAUGGGAGAAGUAGAGCGGGGAUCACGG
rnacentral:sRNA from 12 species